rnacentral:misc_RNA from 1 species
GAUGAAGAACGUAGCGAAAUGCGAUAAGUAAUGUGAAUUGCAGAACUCAGUGAAUCAUCGAAUCUUUGAACGCACAUUGCGCCCGCCAGUAUUCUGGCGGGCAUGCCUGUUCGAGCGUCAUUACAACCCUCAGGCCCCCGGGCCUGGCGUUGGGGAUCGGCGGAGCCCCCCGUGGGCACACGCCGUCCCCCAAAUGCAGUGGCGGUCCCGCCGCAGCUUCCAUCGCGUAGUAGCUAACACCUCGCGACUGGAGAGCGGCGCGGCCACGCCGUAAAACACCCAACUCUUCUGAAGUUGACCUCGAAUCAGGUAGGAAUACCCGCUGAACUUAAGCAUAUCAAUAAGCGGAGGA